rnacentral:rRNA from 1 species
GACGAACGCUGGCGGCGUGCUUAACACAUGCAAGUCGAACGGAAAGGCCCUGCUUUUGUGGUGUGCUCGAGUGGCGAAGGGGUGAGUAACACGAGUGUAACCUGCCCUUGACUUUGGGAUAACUUCAGGAAACGGGGGCUAAUAUCGGAUAGGAGCCCCUGCAGCAUGGUGGGGGUUGGAAAGUUUCGGCGGUUGGGGAUGGACUGGCGGCUUAUCAGCUUGUUGGUGGGGUAGUGGCUUACCAAGGCUGUGGCGGGUCGGCGGCCGGCGAGGGUGACCGGCGUCAUUGGGACUGAGAUACGGCCCAGACUCCUACGGGAGGCAGCAGUGGGGAAUAUUGCACAAUGGGCGGAAGCCUGAUGCAGCAACGCCGCGUGCGGGAUGACGGCCUUCGGGUUAUAAACCGCUUUCGCCUGUGACGAAGCGUGAGUGACGGUAAUGGGUAAAGAAGCACCGGCUAACUACGUG